UAUCAAAAGAUUGGAAGAACGAAAUAUUGAUCAAAAUUACCAAUUUAAACCUAAUAUCCAAAUCAACCAUUAAGGGCAAGAUAAUUAACAAUUAGGAAGGAGUAUUUUUGUAGCUGCCACAAAUAAACAACAAUGUUCUUGGACGCUGUUGGUUGACGCCGGUGGAGCCUGCUGGCAUCGACUGUUGCUGUCCCUGCAAAAUAAGAAGAGAGAAAAAGAGUGAGCGAAGGAGAGUAGCAAAGAGGGCGUAGGCAAGACGGGGAGGAGAGAGGUGACGAGAGAAGAAAGAAAAGGGAGGGGCGGUUGGAGAGAGGGAAGAUGAGGGAGGCGGAGAGAGGGAAAAGGGGAGGAAG
rnacentral:misc_RNA from 1 species